AGGAUGAACGCUGGCGGCGUGCUUAACACAUGCAAGUCGAACGGUGAAAGAGGAGCUUGCUCCUCUGGAUCAGUGGCGAACGGGUGAGUAACACGUGAGUAACCUGCCCCAGACUCUGGGAUAAGCACUGGAAACGGUGUCUAAUACCGGAUACGAGCUUCAGCCGCAUGGCUAGGAGCUGGAAAGAAUUUCGGUCUGGGAUGGACUCGCGGCCUAUCAGCUAGUUGGUGAGGUAAUGGCUCACCAAGGCGACGACGGGUAGCCGGCCUGAGAGGGUGACCGGCCACACUGGGACUGAGACACGGCCCAGACUCCUACGGGAGGCAGCAGUGGGGAAUUUUCCGCAAUGGGCGAAAGCCUGACGGAGCAAGACCGCGUGGGGAAGAAGGCUCUUGGGUUGUAAACCCCUUUUCUCUUGGGAAGUAACGCAAUGACGGUACCAGAGGAAUCAGCAUCGGCUAACUCCGUGCCAGCAGCCGC
rnacentral:rRNA from 1 species